rnacentral:tRNA from 2 species
GCUGGUGUAGCUCAAUUGGCAGAGCAACUGACUUGUAAUCAGUAGGUUGCAGGUACCCUACCCUUCGGGAACGGCUUUGCCGAACGGGAAGCCGCUACCGCGUCUACAACUCCUGUCACCAGCUCCA